GGGCUGAAAAACAUAACCCAUAAAUGCUAGCUAUAUCCUGAUUAUUCAAUUUGAAGCAUCAUGAUAUAUACCAAGAACCACCUCAUUGGCCUGUGGAAUCUCCCUUCCGCAGGCCUUCUU
rnacentral:sRNA from 1 species